CCUACGGAUGGCAGCAGUGGGGGAUAUUGGGCAAUGGGCGCAACCCUGACCCAGCAACGCCGCGUGUAGGAAGAAGGCCCUCUGGUUUUAAACUUCUUGUGUCAGGGACGGAACAUGUGACUGUCCCUGGCGAAUACUCCGCCUCUAACUACGUGCGCGAAGCCGCUGUUAUACGUGGGGGGAGCGUGUGAUCCGGAUUUACGGGGUGUAAAGGGGGUGUAGGGGGGGCAGGAAGUCAGAUGUGUAAACCAAGGGCCCGAACUGGUACAUGCAUUGGAAACUGUUUUUCUUGAGUGAUGGAGAGGCAAUCGGAAUUCCGUGUGUAGCGGUGAAAUGCGUAGAUAUAAGGAGGAACACCAGUGGCGAAGGCGGACUGCUGGACAGUAACUGACGCUGAGGCGCGAAAGCGUGGGGAGCAAACAGGAUUAGAUACCCCUGUAGUC
rnacentral:rRNA from 1 species